UAGUAGUAGUUAUGUUCUUGAAAAUUAAAAAAGUUGGCGGUAUUUUAGUCUAUUUAGAGGAACCUGUCCUGUAAUCGAUAAUCCACGAUUUGAUUUACUUAUUGUUUUAGUUUGCAUAUCGCCGUAGGUUGAAUAUUUUUAAAGAAUUAGCAAUAUUCAAUAAGUUUAUAAGAAAAAAAUUCAGGUCAAGAUGUAGCGUAUAAAUAAGAAGAGAUGGGUUACAAUAAAUAUAUUUAUGAUGAAUUAAUAAAUUUAAUUUUAUAAUGAAGGUGGAUUUAAAGGUAAU
rnacentral:rRNA from 1 species